CUCGCAUUACUGACCGGCUGCCCGUGCGUCGUUUCCCCGCGUGCUCAUCGUGGGUUACCGAUCCUGAUGACAACCCUGCGAGGGCAACAAAGCUGCCAUGUUACCGGAAAUGCAUACGGCACAGGAUGUCGUAAAACAGAUCGAAUCGUCUGCAGGUCGAACUGCUUCUGAUUGGUCCUCUGAGCGUGUGAGUGGAGGGCGCUGACCAGACGCUUUGCAGCGCCUCGCUGACUCAUGCCAGAGCCCAGCUGAGAACGUUCAAAGUCCAGGUUUCCCAGGCCGUCUGAAUAUGUAUCAGCUAGACUUCAAAUGGAAACAAAAGAUGUUUUACGUCGCAGAACACAACACAAGACAGGCCCUGACCUCUAGAAACAAGCAGACUUUUACACUACCUUGUUUAGAAUAGAAAAAAUUCAAGUAGGGAUGCACCGAUGUAAAAAUUGAAAUAAAAAACAAAUAAACAUUGUUUGGACAUUAAUAUUGGCCCAGUUUUACUUUUCAGACCAAUACCGACAUGUUAAAAAAUGACUAACAUCAGCUGAUACCGAUAUGUUGUGCAUCCAGUUAAAAAAAAUUCUGUGCUUUGCAAUUAUAUUAUAUACCUUCGACAUUUCAGUGUUUCUUUUUUCAUAUUGUCACAAUUUUGACAAUUGUGUGUGGUUCUCCAAGUUGUUCUGUUUUUUUUCAGUGCAUUUGUAUAGAGGCCUGUCACGGUAACAAAUUUUGCUGGAUGAUAAAUUGUCCCAGAAGUUAUCGCGAUAAAUGAUAGCACUGUUGGAUUUGAGUCCAUUUUCAAGGAAUGCAACGGUAGCAGCAUAAUAACGCAAGAACCCAUUCUCAAAAACCAAUAAUCUGUAAAUUCUAAUGAACAGUUAAGACUGGAAGAAAUUUUAAAUAUAUAAAAUAAAUAAAGUAACAGAAAACGACAAAUAAAAAUGAUCUACGAAGUCUCUGUAAACAAAAUUCACCAAAUUGAAGACUUUAUUAUCCAGUUUUUGGGAGAAAGAGAGAGAGAGAAAAGAG